rnacentral:rRNA from 1 species
UAGUUUGAUCCUGGCUCAGGAUGAACGCUAGCGGCAGGCUUAAUACAUGCAAGUCGAGGGGCAGCACGAAUAGCAAUAUUUGGUGGCGACCGGCAAACGGGUGCGGAACACGUACAGAACCUUCCUUUAAGUGGGGAAUAGCCCAGAGAAAUUUGGAUUAAUACCCCGUAAUAUUAUAAAGUGGCAUCACCUUAUAAUUAUAGAUUUAUCGCUUAGAGAUGGCUGUGCGGCUGAUUAGGUAGUUGGCGGGGUAACGGCCCACCAAGCCUGCGAUCAGUAACUGGUGUGAGAGCACGACCAGUCACACGGGCACUGAGACACGGGCCCGACUCCUACGGGAGGCAGCAGUAAGGAAUAUUGGUCAAUGGACGAAAGUCUGAACCAGCCAUGCCGCGUGAAGGAUGAAGGUCCUCUGGAUUGUAAACUUCUUUUAUCUGGGACGAAACAUUCCGAUUCUUCGGAACUUGACGGUACCAGAGGAAUAAGCACCGGCUAACUCCGUGCCAGCAGCCGCGGUAAUACGGAGGGUGCAAGCGUUAUCCGGAUUCACUGGGUUUAAAGGGUGCGUAGGUGGGUCUGUAAGUCAGUGGUGAAAUCUCCGGGCUUAACCCGGAAACUGCCAUUGAUACUAUAGGUCUUGAAUUUUCUGGAGGUAAGCGGAAUAUGUCAUGUAGCGGUGAAAUGCUUAGAUAUGACAUAGAACACCAAUUGCGAAGGCAGCUUACUACAGGAACAUUGACACUGAGGCACGAAAGCGUGGGGGAUCAACAGAUUAGAUACCCUGGUAG